AGCUCUCUGGGCUGUGCGAGCUGUUGGAUUUGUUCCUCGAGCCGAUGCGCACGACUUCGGAGACCACUCCCUGGCGAUGUGAGCAGGUCCCCCACUGCAGGGGAAAGCCUAAUUCGCUAGACUGGUCACCACCUUGAACUAUUGGGUUCAGGGGCCAUAUCUGACGACGGCAGUCCGGAGAGCGC
rnacentral:other from 2 species